GAUGUGUAAAAUGAAAGGAACACAUACACUAUCUCAUUAGUUCUCCUAACGACCCUAGGAUGCGAGGUGUGAUUAUUGCUCUCUUUCACUGAGGCAGAAAUGGAGUCUCAGACAGCUAAAGCAACUUGCCUGAGGGUACAGAGCUGAUAAAUGCUGGAACUCUAAUUCCAGCUCUCGCCUGAGGCUGAUGGACCUCCAAGGCUGAACUCAGCCUCUGCAGUCGCUUCUCCAACCAGAUGCUGCAGGAGACUGAGCAUAGGCAGUGGAAUAAGCUGUCUGCAGUUUCCUGCCUCUGAGCCUCAACAUGAGAUCUCUCUACAACACUUUCUUCCACAACCAUGCAGGCUGCAGGAUUGCAACUGUCUUUUUAAUCACGCCUUCAGCAGUGCCUGGGACAUUGGAGGUACAAUAAAUGCUUAUUGAAUGAAAGAAAGAAUGAAUGAAUGAAAUAGAUAGCCAUUUUACUAUAGGUACUGCCAAAGUGAGCGUGAUACUCAUUUUACUGACUCUUAUUUUGUUUGCAUAAUGAGAAUCAGAGGAAGAUAAUUUGUUUAUCUAAAAAAGAAGAGGAUCCGGCAUGUGUGUGUGUGUCCGGGGGGAGAAGACAGGUACAACUUAUAAGAGCCAAAUAAAACGUUGUGAUUUUUACCAUUCAUAGAAACAUUUUCAGAGCUUUAGUAGAUGACUACAUUAUUCCAAGGUUAGCUU
rnacentral:lncRNA from 1 species